AGGAACUUGUUCCUUGGGUGGCGAGCGGCGGACGGGUGAGUAAUGCCUGGGAAAUUGCCCUGAUGUGGGGGAUAACCAUUGGAAACGAUGGCUAAUACCGCAUGAUGCCUACGGGCCAAAGAGGGGGACCUUCGGGCCUCUCGCGUCAGGAUAUGCCCAGGUGGGAUUAGCUAGUUGGUGAGGUAAUGGCUCACCAAGGCGACGAUCCCUAGCUGGUCUGAGAGGAUGAUCAGCCACACUGGAACUGAGACACGGUCCAGACUCCUACGGGAGGCAGCAGUGGGGAAUAUUGCACAAUGGGCGCAAGCCUGAUGCAGCCAUGCCGCGUGUAUGAAGAAGGCCUUCGGGUUGUAAAGUACUUUCAGUCGUGAGGAAGGUUGUAGUGUGAAUAGCACUAUGAUUUGACGUUAGCGACAGAAGAAGCACCGGCUAACUCCGUGCCAGCAGCCGCGGUAAUACGGAGGGUGCGAGCGUUAAUCGGAAUUACUGGGCGUAAAGCGCAUGCAGGUGGUUUGUUAAGUCAGAUGUGAAAGCCCUGGGCUCAACCUAGGAGUUGCAUUUGAAACUGACAAGCUAGAGUACUGUAGAGGGGGGUAG
rnacentral:rRNA from 1 species